UACGGAGGGUGCAAGCGUUAUCCGGAUUCACUGGGUUUAAAGGGUGCGUAGGUGGGUUGAUAAGUCAGUGGUGAAAUCCCCGAGCUUAACUUGGGAACUGCCAUUGAUACUAUUGAUCUUGAAUACCGUGGAGGUCAGCGGAAUAUGUCAUGUAGCGGUGAAAUGCUUAGAUAUGACAUAGAACACCAAUUGCGAAGGCAGCUGGCUACGCGAAUAUUGACACUGAUGCACGAAAGCAUGGGGAUCAAACAGG
rnacentral:rRNA from 1 species